GACGAACGCUGGCGGCGUGCUUAACACAUGCAAGUCGAACGGAAAGGCCCUGCUUUUGUGGGGUGCUCGAGUGGCGAGCGGGUGAGUAACACGUGAGUAACCUGCCCUUGACUUUGGGAUAACUUCAGGAAACUGGGGCUAAUACCGGAUAGGAGCUCCUGCUGCAUGGUGGGGGUUGGAAAGUUUCGGCGGUUGGGGAUGGACUCGCGGCUUAUCAGCUUGUUAGUGGGGUAGUGGCUUACCAAGGCUUUGACGGGUAGCCGGCCUGAGAGGGUGACCGGCCACAUUGGGACUGAGAUACGGCCCAGACUCCUACGGGAGGCAGCAGUGGGGAAUAUUGCACAAUGGGCGGAAGCCUGAUGCAGCAACGCCGCGUGCGGGAUGACGGCCUUCGGGUUGUAAACCGCUUUCGCCUGUGACGAAGCGUGAGUGACGGUAAUGGGUAAAGAAGCACCGGCUAACUACGUG
rnacentral:rRNA from 1 species